UACGUAGGGGGCAAGCGUUGUCCGGAUUUACUGGGUGUAAAGGGCGCGCAGGCGGGAUAAAAAGUCAGUGGUGAAAUCCUACAGCUUAACUGUAGAACUGCCUUUGAUACUUUUAUUCUUGAGUUCGGGAGAGAGAGACGGAAGUCCAGGUGUAGUGGUGAAAUACGUAGAUAUCUGGAAGAACACCAGUUGCGAAGGCGGUCUCUUGGUCCGAUACUGACGCUGAGACACGAAAGCGUGGGGAGCAAACAGG
rnacentral:rRNA from 1 species